rnacentral:rRNA from 1 species
AAAUUGAAGAGUUUGAUCAUGGCUCAGAUUGAACGCUGGCGGCAGGCCUAACACAUGCAAGUCGAACGGUAACAGGAAGCAGCUUGCUGCUUUGCUGACGA